AUGUUCCUUCCAUUUCUGCUGCUGCUGGCAGCUUCAUCCUAUGUGGGAUGUGCAGUAGAACUCACUCAGGUCACCUCAGUGAUGUUAAAGCCAGGAGAUUCUUUAACCCUCAGCUGUAAAGUAUCCGGCUACUCUGUUACUGAUAACAGCUACGCCACAGCUUGGAUUCGACAACCUGCAGGAAAAACUCUGGAAUGGAUAAACCACAUUUGGGAUGGUGGAACUAUUCAUCAUAAAGAUUCUCUAAAAAGCAAGUUCAGUAUUUCUAAAGAUGGCUCCAGCAGCACGGUGACUCUGAGAGGACAGAAUCUGCAGACAGAAGACACAGCUGUGUAUUGCUGCGCCCGCCGCCCACACACUGAUGCUUCUACUUAG